CAAUUCCCUUCUCCACCCACAGCGCGUCCAACAAGUGACCCCCUGUCCUCGGAAGAGGACAAUGUGGUCGAGGAACAGCCAGAAGCUGGGUCCUCCCAGGCCGCACCACCCAGACCCAUGCGAGACGAACCGGUCCGCGUCACGCAUGUCGCCACGCAGACCACCAUGCUGCCCCAGUCUACCCAGACAACCACUCUGGAGGAUGUUAUGGCCAGGAUGGAAAUCAUGGACAGCAAAAUUAACACCCAAGGUCAGCAGUUUGAGGAGCACAGGAAGUCCACACAGGACACCAUCCGAAAGAUGGAGACCUUGUGGAUUCCUGGUCUGCACCACUGAUUGCGUGCUGUGGAGGCAGGACAACAGGGUUCUGCAAAGUUGUCAGGCCAGGCUCCGGACCAGCGCUAGCGUGUGAUUUGCACAACACUACUCAAGGGGAAGACAAAUGCGUUCAUGCAUCGUUUCGUUUCAUUUGCGAAGAAAGUGGGUUUAUUUUUUGUAAAAUAUGGUGUUUGAUUUAAA